rnacentral:lncRNA from 1 species
CCGUUUAUGUUAUGCCUCUCUAUGACAAAAUUAUAAUUCUUUAUAUAGUUAUAAUUUAUUAACGUUUCAACAUUUUGACUUUAUAUAGUCAAACAUAUCAUGAUUUUCAUCAAAAGUGAUGAAACAUACUUUCUUUUCUUCGUCAUGUUUCUAGAGAAUUCGUUAUUGUACUGGGGCUAGAAAAAGUUGCCACAAAACAUUCGUACACAAAUAAAUGGACACAACCUGCACAUCUAUUAGACGGAUAAGCACAAAAGGGAAGACAAAGAGCAUGAGUCAAUGAUCGGUAUGUGAGCUCAACAACAAUAACAAACUCAGUGUAUUUUUGCAUAAUUGGGUCUGAGAAGGGUAAAAUGUACGCAGUCCAUAUCACUACCUCCGGAGAAGUAGAAAGGCUGUUUUCGAUAGACCCCCGUCUCAAGACUAAUGUGAGCUCACUCCUUUUAAUUAAACUCAAACAUUAAUAUUUUAGAAACGUUAGAUCAAACAUCUUAAGGGCGUGACUUCGUGAGAAAAAAAAAACUUCAAUAAGAACAAGUCUUAACUCACCUCAAAAUUCUUUCUUUCUAGCAAAGUUAACUCUAUGCUUGACUACAACAAACAAUAAUUCAAAUUACAUAAUAACCGGAGUUGAAUUUACAUCACUACAAGCUAAAAGAACGUAACUUUAUCCACAAUUCUUUUAUCUAAAGAAAUUUUCACUUGGAGUUCGAUUUAAAAAUAUUAGUUCGCCCUCACUCGUCACUCCUCACUAAGUCAACAAACUUUUUGUAGCAUUCAACUUUAUCAACUUAACUAACGACUCUCCAAACUCAUCUUCUUCACCAUUUCAUUCUCGUAAUUAUUGAAAUGGUAAGCCAAAAAUAUGGUGUUUUACGCAUUAUAGCAUACAUGAGACCGCCCAAAACUGAUGCCUACGAUAGCUUCUCCAAUCGACUUUUCUAUUCAUCAGAUAUUAGGCUAAGUUGUUUUGAGAUAUUCGUCAAGUGACCUGCCAAAAGAGUCCUCACCAGCUUGACAUCCUAUAUAGUAAACCUCUUCAAGAUUUUGUCAAUGUACUCCUGAUACAACCCAAACAACUUAUUUCUUCUGUAUCUUUCAGUUUUAAACCCCAAAAUCUUUUUUCGAAGGACCAAAAUUCUUCAUUGAAUAUUCACUAGACAUUCGCCCCUUCAACUUUGUGAUAUCACACACAUGUUAGAACUUGUCACUAACAUGCCAUUCACAUAUAAGAGUAAAAUAAUGUACGAAUUUAUAUUUAUAAAUUUCUAGAAGUAACAACGAGGAUUACCAUUACGAGUAAAGCGAAUAGUCAUCAUAAACCUGUCAAACUUCCAAGUACCACUGUCUCGAUCGUGUCUCAAAUCAUAAAGACUCUUUUUCAGUCUGCGCACCUGGUUUUUCUUAUUACAUCAAUCUACGUUCAGGUUGCUAUAUAUAAAAAGUCUUCAUCUAAAUUCCAUGGGAAAAGAUUGUCCUUAUAUCUAGAUGCUCAAAAUGUACAUCCUAUGUCGCAACAAUACUUAAUACAACUCAAAUAGGGAAGAAAAUCUCAAAUGAUACCUGCCUUCUGUUGGAAACCUUUUGCCACAAAUGUUGCCUUGUAUCUCGCUGAACUACCAUGCUCCUGUUUAACCCUGUACAAUCAUUUAUUCAGAAUUGCCUUCUUCCCUUCUGGUAGUUCGACAAGUCCUAAGUUUAAUUUAUGUGGAGUGAGUUCACUUCUUCAUCCAUGGCCAGAAUUCACUAAAACUAGCUAUCAACCUUCAUUGCCAUCUGCUGGUAAUAAUCAAGAGAAAGAGAAUAUUGUUAGUUAGGAAAUCUCUGUCUUACAUACCUUCACAGCGAGACUGGUGCCUUUAUGGUUUCUUGUUCGUCCUCAUCUUACGCAUCACCCUGUUCAAUAUUAUUUUCAUCAUCUUCAGGUUCAACAAACACUGAUUUUAUCUGUUUCUGUUUUUCGUUGAACUUGUCCUUAGGUAGAAUAUUUUCACUGAACGCCACAUUCUUGCUCCUGAUUACCUUCUGACUCUCAUGAUUUCAGACUCUAUACCAAAGUUAUCACCAGCACAGCCUAAGAAAGUGCAAACGCCACAUCUCUUAAAGUCCGUUAUAGCCAGCUCUCACACCUUCUUACUGGUACAUUUGCAUCCUUCCUCUUAACAUGUCCGAACCAUCUCAAUCCUACUUUCCUAAUCUUAUCCACCAUCUUAUCCACCAAAGAGAUCACUAGUUCCCAUAUUGUAGUGUAUCACUUCCUAAUCAUCUCUCUCUAGUAUCCCCGUACAUACAUUUGAGUAUCCUCAUCUUCACUGCUUUCAUUUUCUAAAAGUGUGUGUUGUUGAUUGGCCAGUACUCCACCUCACACAACAAAGCAGGUCUAAUCACCAGUCUAUAGCGCUUACCUUUAAGCCUUGGUGACACAUUCUUAUCACAUAGUAUGUCAUAUGCAAGCCUCCAUUUCAUCCACUAGCUCCAAUAUGAUGUGUUAUAUCAUUGUCAAUAUUUCUGUUUUUGGAUUGUACACCUAAGAUACUUGAGAUUUCCUCUCUUGGGAUGACUUGUGUAUCGAUCUUUACUUCCACUUCAGCUUCAUGUGUUAUAUUACUAAACUUAACUUACACUCAGAUAAUUUGUUAGUCCUACUUAAUCUGAAACCUUUAUAUUCUAGGAUUUGUCUCCAAACUUUUAAGUAUCGCUAACUCCAUUGUGCAACUCGUUGAUCAAUAAUGUCAUUAGUGAAAAACAUACAUCACAAUACCUCUCCUUGAACAGGUCAUACUAGUUCGUACAUCACUAGGGCGAAUAAAAAUAGAAUAAGGUUGAUCUUUAGUGCAAUCCCAUCAUAACUGAUAAGUGUUCAAGUCACCUCCCAUAAAUUUUAUUCGGGUUUUGACUUUAUUACACGUCCUUAAUUGCCUUAAUGUAGCUACAGAAACACCGCUCAAAAAAUUCCUAAAGACUAUUGUGUGCCUUUUCUAGAUUAACAAUCUCCUUACAAGAUAAAUAACCUCUAUAGUUACUAAAGGAUCUUUAGGUAUUAGUUCAAAUCUAUCUUAUAAAAGAAUUAUCACAAAUAUAGUUCAACCAUGAACACUAAUUAUAUUACUUUAGAGAUAAACAAUUGUAGAGUUCUUGUAAGAAAUUUUAGUGGAAAAGUAACAUUAUUUGUUACUCCCUCCAUUUCAGAAUAAGUAAAUUGUUGGGGUAUUUAUUGGUGUUUCAUUAAAUUUUUUUUCAAAUUUAUCCUUAUAAUUUAACAACCAAUUAAUUUUUGAAAAAGUAUUACAAGAUCAGUUUUUUCUUUUUUUGGGAAUAAAAAUGGAAAGUUGUGUUAAAUUUAUAUCUUUAAUGUUUUUUCCUUAAUCUGUGUGCCAAAAUUCAAUAAUUUAUUUAUUAUUAAACGGAUGGAGUAUUAACAAACGGAGUCCCAUUCCAAUAAUGUUGCGUUUAGGUUGUUGAUAAUCAAUUUUCUUCAUCCGUCAAUUCCAUGUUGGUUGUUAUUCAGGAUAAAGUUGAAGUGUGAAAGAAUAGCCCAGGAUUUAGUUGUAUUCACGUAACUCCCUAGUCCCUAUGACUUUUUUAUCACAAGUUUUUUGGUAUACAUAUUUUUCAAGGUUGGAUUUUACCGUGAAUAUUAUUGAAUAGGAUUGUGAACUAAGAUGAACAAAAAGGAACCGGAUCAUGAAGUAGGAACUACUCACGACCUCCCUUUUUGGACUCAUUCCUCAUUUUCUUAUCUUUCCCUCAAUAAUAUGCCAACUAAGUUCCAGCCAUUUCAGUCAUCAUAAAGUGACUUCUAAAAUAUGUCCAAAUUAGCUGUUCACAAUGUUCAGGAAAGUUCAUGCUUCGGACCACCAUGGGCAUCCUAACUGGGCCAUACCCACCGUUAUCCAGCCUGUCUCCCAUUUAGUUUCCAAAUUAUUAUUUCCCCCUUUUAGCCUUUACUAUUACUAUUUUGAUUAUGCAUAAUACAUAAUCAACCCUCUUAUUUUAAUUUUCGCUGAAAUCUUUACCCUUCAGCUUCAAAUGUACAUAAGUAAACAAACUUGUGUAAAAUUAAACAAAUAGAUAAAACAUCCCACAUGAUAUUUCGCGUGAAAACUCAAGCUAUAUUUCACACAAAUUUGCAUGAAAAUUCAAGCUGGUAUUCACACGAAUUGACACGUAUGUCUAUUUGUUCAAGUUUAUACUAAGUUUGAAUACACUUGUAUAGGCUCAAAGUUGAAGGAAAUAAGUAAUGAGGUUUAAAUGACAAGUUUACUUAUUAUGCUUUUCAUUAUUGUAUGUAUCACAAGAUUCCUCUUAUGUUCAUGUCAUGAUCCUUUACUUCGUCCACUAAGUUCAAAUGUCUCAUUUGAAUUUCACAUUCAUUUUCAAUCUCCCUCCAUGAUUCCAAGACAAGGUAAAAAUUACGAAGAUCUGGUGUUAUAUACGUACACGGCAUCCACUCUUUUUUUUCAACGCAUCCACUCUCCAUUACUCCGAGAAUUUGUAUUACAUUACGCCAACCUGAAAACAAGGAAAAUUAAAAAACAUCAAUAAAUCCAACUAGCAAAUACAUAAUAAAUACGUAAAUAAAUAAUAAAUAAUAAAUAAAUGAAAAUACCUCGAACGAUGACGUAAAGAUGCCAAAACAUGACGAACGCAUAUACGGCGGACGAACGGAAAACGCCAUUGCAUAAUGGAACGGUGAACACGACGGAAAACACAAAGGCUGCGAAUGAACAGAAAGCGAAACAAGUCACGCCACUCCAUCAAAUACCAAAAAGUUAACACAAAUUUCUCAACCAUAUCCAAGUCUUUAUCAUAUGUUCAUUAAAUUUUAAUCAAAGUUCCAAUUUCAUGAUUAAUUGUUUUAAUCAAAGUUUAAUCUCUGCUUAAAUGGAUUUUAAUAGUCCAAAUUUGUCCUUGAAUUGCAAUCAGUUACUGCAACAAAACCAUAUAUGUACAAGGGGAGAAUUCUACUACUUCCAUACUGCAUCAAAAUUGUCAAUAGCUUUCAUUUCGCCGGAGUAGUAAGAACCGCAGCCAGGAUCACACGCCACCGCCGGAAAACUCUCAAGAGAUGAGCUUCAGAUAAUAUAUGAAAAUCACCAACCUGUAAAAACGUAAAACGGAAAAGUAUUUUCACAGGUCAUCGGCUUUGGACAUUCUGGAAAGCCGGCUAGGACGCGGUUGAAAGUCACAUCGACGUCUCUGAGAAUGCGAAGAUGGCCUAAUUAGAGCAGCCAAAGCUCGUUUCACUAAAUCACCUUCAACAGAACAAAUCCGCACCAGCGAAUUCGUCAUCGCCGAUCUCCGAGCAUUCAGUCGGCUAGGAGAAUACGAAAUCGAAGGAGAAGGAUUAUUCUUCAUAUUCUUAUGCAUACUACACCUGAACGAACCAGGAUGCGUCGUAGGAGAACACAAACACGUCCUCUUCAGAUUGAUCUGCUUUCUAACCACCUGAUCACGUUGAUUCACCGCCAUAGACCUCCUCGGAGAUAUAGAUCUAUCAAUCGCAAACCUAACACUCGGCGUAGAAUUCACCGGCGCAAGCGCGUGAAUCUUCACGCGCGUCGGAGACGCCGAUCGGUUGAAACAACCGGUCAAGCUAGAAUUGCUAUACGAAGCGAACGGCAUCGCAUCAGUUGCAUUGGUUGAACCAGUGUUGCUGAACCGGCCGGUCGGUGAAAGUGACCGUUCAAACGCCGAUCUAAGUAACACCGGAGCACUCGGCCUUCUAGAGGAAUUCGCCAUUUUUAACUAACUUUGAGAGAGAUCUAUAUAAAACAAUUUAUGUUUCUAUAGAUCUCUUCUUCUUCCUAAAAGUGCCCUAAGGCUUUUCAGUUUGGCAAACCUAGCGAGUCUCGAAGGGUAAAUUUAUAACAGGGAGAAGAUGAUGGUAGGAUUGUAAAUAAGAGGAAUAUUUGAGGUGUGAUUAGGAAAGUAAAUUGUGAGUGUGGUUAAAAGUAACCAUGGUUGGUAGUUAACCCAAGAGUGGAAGUUGAAUAUGAGCUUUUCAAUGGAUAGUGACCGGUAUGAGAAACGACAAUAAUUGGAGCCGUUUUAACUGACUGCUUUCGUAGAGGAUAAUGUAGAUAAGGGGGGUCACGAUGGUAGGGUAUUUGAAAUAUUGAUAAUAUUUUUGAUAUAUAUUUUAAAAUAUAUAUUAUUAUCAUAUUAAAUUAAGUUGAUAUAAUUUAUAAUUUUUAAAUUCAAUGUAUUAAAUUAAUAAAUAUAAUUUAUUUAACUUCAACUAGUAAAUAAUAUAUGCUUCUAUAUAGAAAAUUAUAACUUUAAAUUUUCAAAAACAUCUCAAUUCCUUAUUUAGUUGUUGUUUUUGAGAUAAGUUAACAUAAGAAUCAAUAAUUACGUCAAUAUAAUUUAUUUCAACCAAAUAGUGAAAUAAUAAUGUCAUAUAAGUUAUUUUGGGAUAAAUAUAAACGACAAAAACACUCUUGAGGUUACUCUAAUCCUUUUUCAAGUAAAUAAAUAUGGAAGAUUUUCUGUAAAUAAGUACUUUCUCCGUUUGUAUUUAUUUAAGCAUUUUUCUUUCUUGAAAUUUCAAUAAUAUUUUUUUAAUUUAUAAAAUUAAUAAAUAAUUUAUUUAUUUUUAUUUAUUUUACUCUUAGCAUUAAAUACAGUAGCGGAAUCAACUUUGUUCUAGGGGUUCAUCCAAAUCUCCUUCGACGAAAAGUUAUAUCAUUUUUACAUGAUUAAAAAUAUUUUUUAUGCAUAUAUAGUAGAUGUUGAAAAGUUAGUUCGUAUAUAUACUUCUGAACUUCCUCAAUGAAAAUUCUAACUCUACCACUAAUUAAAUACGAUUCAUUAUGUAAUGCAUUUUUCAUAGCAUUAAAUUUAUUAUAUUUGAAAGAUAAUAUGGUAAAAUUACAUCUAUUAUUUUCUGCUUCUUAAUUCUUGUGUCAAUAGAAAAAUGAACAAAUAAAAAUAGAUGGAGGGAGUAAUUUUUUCUUUAAAAAAAAAAAGAUAUGUUAUGCAUAUUAUUUUAUACAACAAACUAAAUAACUAAUAAACCUGAGCCAAGGCCUAUCAGAAACAGUCUCUCUACUUCAUCUGAGAAGUGAUAUUAACUGGAUAUAUUUUAUCCUCCCAGAUUCCACUUUAUAAAAAUACAGUGAAUAUGUUAUCUAUCUAUCUAUCUAUCUAUCUAUCUAUCUAUCUCUCUAUAUAUAUAUAUAAAUAAAACUAAAGCAAGACAAGACGUCAAAUUUCAGCACAAGAAUAAGUCAAGUGGUAAUUUUAAGAUAAAGUUAAAAAAUAUGUAAUAAAAAAUUUGAAUUGAAAAAUUAAGUAUUUGAAUUUGAAAUAUAUUAUCCCUUUUAAAAAAUAUAUAUUAUCUUAAUAAAUAGAAACCCAUAAUUGAAGCGUUCUAAUAGACUCUUACUAUUUCAAACCUAUAUCUUAUAAAAUUUAAGUAUUAUAUAUAUACAGUUUAUUUACAAAAUAAUAAUAAUAAUAAUAAUAUAGUGACGCUACGUUAGGGCUGUCAAGUGAGCUGGGCCGGACCAACUCGGAACAGGUCUGUUAAAAUUAAUUGGGUUGUGGGCCGGGCAGGAGUCGGGUUGGGAUUAAGUGGAUCGGGCCGGGCUCAACAAUAAAAUUUUCAAAAACAACCCUAACCCGGCCCACUUAACCCAACCCGGUCAAACCCACCUAAAUUCGGUCAAAAAUUUAAAAAAAUUCAAUAUACACAAUAUAUACUCACUUAUAUACAUUUAAAUACGUUAAACAAUAUAUAUACACUAUAUAUGUAGUAUAUACUACAUUAGAAUUUAAAAAAUAUAUACACAUAUACAUAAUUACACAUAUAUAUGCAUCAUUCAAUAUAUACGACUAUACGUACUACUUUAAAUAAAACAUAUACUACAACAUAUAUAUACUACAACAACAACAAUAUAUCCAGUGUAUUCCCACCUAGUGGGGUCUGAGGAGGGUAAAGUGUACGCAGAUCAUACCACUAACUCAAGAGAAGUAGAGAGGCUGUUUUCGAUAGACCUCCGGCUUAGGACCAAUAACAUAUAACAAAUACAAAAAGUAACCAGAAACUCCAGACCCAAAGAAGCACUCCCCUAUUACUACCUCCGCGCUCCCACCCCCUAACCCUCUAUCCUAAUCCGUGUUCUCCACACCUUCCUAUCAAGGGUCAUGUCCUCUGUAAGUACAUAUAUAGAGUUAUAUACUACAAUAGAUAUAAGUACAUAUAUAAAGUUAUAUACUAAUUUAUAAAACAUAUGCACAUGUAUACAUUAAAUAUACACGUCUAUAGAAGAUAUAUGCACAAAUAUACGCACCAUUCAAUAUAUAUGUACUACUUUAAGUAAAACAUAUACUACAAUAUAUAUAUAGUUAUAUACUAAUUUAUAAAACAUAUACACAUGUAUAUGUUAAAUAUACAUGUCUAUAGAAGAUAUAUACACACAUAUACACACCAUUCAAUNNNNNNNNNNNNNNNNNNNNNNNNNNNNNNNNNNNNNNNNNNNNNNNNNNNNNNNNNNNNNNNNNNNNNNNNNNNNNNNNNNNNNNNNNNNNNNNNNNNNNNNNNNNNNNNNNNNNNNNNNNNNACAUGUAUACGUUAAAUAUACACGUCUAUAGAAGAUAUAUACACACAUAUAUGCACCAUUCAAUGUAUAUGUACUACUCUACUUUAAAUAAAAUAUAAUACAAUAUAUAUACAUUACAAUAUAUAUAUAGUUAUAGUUAUAUACUAAUUUAUAAAACAUAUACACAUGUAUACAUUAAAUAUACACGUUUAUAGAAGAUAUAUAUAUGCACCAUUCAAUAUAUAUGUUGUACUUUAAAUAAAACACAUGCUACUUAAUAUAAUAAAUUAUUAAUAAUAUAUUAUAGUAAAUUAAUAAUAUAUUAGAAGUAAGUUUUUAAUUUAAAAUAGAAAUUCAAUUUAAAUCAUUAAAUGAAAAAAUUACAAAGUAAGGACUAAGGAAGGAGUGAAUGAAUGUUGAAUUUUAUUGAUUACAAAAUGAUCUAAAAUUUAUAAUUUACAUGAAUGAAAAAUCUAGAAAUUGUGCAUCAUUUUUUUCAACUCAUUCAUGUUAAUAUUAACGGGAGCUUGCAUAGGAUAUUCAAAGUCAACGGGGACAAAACCAUGCAUUGGACUUGAUUCUACUGAGUUCUCCCAUGAAGACAUACUUUCUUCAAGUUUUAGCUCGUUGUUCGGCUCCAAUUCCAUUCCUUGGUUUCUUCUUUCCGCUCUAAUCCAAUCUCUGAAGUAAACUAGAACAUUCUGCUGACUAAAAGCGUUAUCUGAUACAACGGUUGACAUUAGAACAUUCAAGAUAUCUCUAGCUAAUCUUAAAAGCACACGAUAUUGUGUUUCAUUACUCCUCCACUAAUCCAACGUGUUGAUCCGUCGUUGUAACACCCCGUACUUAAUUACGUGCAUUAGUCAUUGUUAUAUGUGUUGGGGUAUAUGUAUUGAUCCUAAGUUAGGUAUAUAUGAGUUUAAGUAUGAGUAUUGAUUAUUUUGAGAUGGUUUCAAGUGUAUAGUUUGAUUAUAGGUGUAUAGGAAUCGACUUUAUUUAUAUCGGAAUUUUCCCGUCGAUGGUUCCAUACGAAGGUUAUUGAAUAAGCUUUCCAACGAUAUAAAGAUUUCCAAAAACGGAUAAGUUUCGGAUAUAAGCGAGCUCAUUCGAAACUUUAAAACGGUGGCCGGGAUGUGAACAGUAAAAUGUGCAGGAAACUACUGAGGCCUGCCAGUUUUUUGGGUCAACUUUGAACGAUCAUAACUCCCUCAAUAUAAUGAACUGGUUGAGAUACCAUAUAUCAAAAGAAAGAUCUUUGAGUCUUCUUUCCAAUGAAAUUGGUUUCAUCCAAAUCCAACAUCUGAGUAAGGAGUUAUACUCGUUUUACUUCAGCCUCUCAAAACAGAUUUUUAGGGUCAACUUCAAACG